AUACGGAGGAUGCAAGCGUUAUCCGGAUUUAUUGGGUUUAAAGGGUGCGCAGGCGGCGCGUUAAGUCAGCGGUGAAAUCUCCCGGCUCAACCGGGGAACUGCCAUUGAUACUGGCGUGCUAGAGUACGGACGGCGCCGGCGGAAUGUGUCAUGUAGCGGGGAAAUGCUUAGAUAUGCCACAGAACACCGAUCGCGAAGGCAGCUGGCGAGGCCGGUACUGACGCUCAGGCACGAAAGCGUGGGGAUCAAACAGGAUUAGAUACCCUGGUAGUCCACGCAGUAAACGAUGAUAACUUGUUGUCGGCGAUAGAGUGUCGGUGACAAAGCGAAAGCGAUAAGUUAUCCACCUGGGGAGUACGAUCGCAAGGUUGAAACUCAAAUGAAUUGACGGGG
rnacentral:rRNA from 1 species